AUUUCCACUGCUGCUCUGAGGGCACACGUAUCUUCAGCGGGACUUGGAAUUUCUGGAAAAAUUGCCUUUGUGAAAAGCUGGCAGUACUUCCUUUGAAUGUCAUCUCUUAGUUUUCCACUUCGGUGCGUUUCAGAGGAAAAUCAAGAAACG
rnacentral:other from 9 species